rnacentral:rRNA from 1 species
AACGAACGCUGGCGGCAUGCCUAACACAUGCAAGUCGAACGAGAUCUUCGGGUCUAGUGGCGCACGGGUGCGUAACGCGUGGGAAUCUGCCCUUUGGUUCGGGAUAACAGUUGGAAACGACUGCUAAUACCGGAUGAUGACGAAAGUCCAAAGAUUUAUCGCCAGAGGAUGAGCCCGCGUAGGAUUAGCUAGUUGGUGGGGUAAAGGCGGACCAAGGCGACGAUCCUUAGCUGGUCUGAGAGGAGGAUCAGCCACACUGGGGCGGAGACACGGCGCAGAAUCCUACAGGAGGGAGGAGAGGGGAAUAUUGGACAAUGGGGGAAAGGCUGAUCCAGCAAUGCCGCGUGAGUGAUUACGGCCGUAGGGUUGUAAAGCUGGUUUACCCGGGAUGAGAAUGACAGUACCGGGAGAAUAAGCUCCGGCUAACUCCGUGCCAGCCGCCGCCGUAAUAC